CUAAGAAUAUUCCGCAAUGGACGGAAGUCUGACGGAGCGACGCCGCGUGGAUGACGAAGGCCGAAAGGUUGUAAAGUUCUUUUGCUGGGGAAGAAUAACCGCAGGAGGGAAUGCCUGUGGGAUGACAAGAACCGGCGAAUAAGCCCCGGCCAACUACGUGCCAGCAGCCGCGGUAACACGUAGGGGGCGAGCGUUGUUCGGAAUUACUGGGCGUAAAGGGCAUGUAGGCGGCUUGGAAAGCCUGGCGUGAAAGUCUGCAGCUUAACUGCAGGGGUGCGCUGGGAACUGCUGAGCUUGAGUGACGGAGAGGGAGCUGGAAUUCCUGGUGUAGGGGUGAAAUCUGUAGAUAUCAGGAAGAACACCGAUGGCGAAGGCAAGCUUCUGGCCGAUGACUGACGCUGAGGUGCGAAAGUGUGGGGAUCAAACAGGAUUAGAUACCCUGGUAGUCCACACAGUCAACGAUGUGCACUAGGUGCUGGGGCGGUAGCUUCGGUGCCGGAGCGAACGUGGUAAGUGCACCGCCUGGGGAGUAUGCUCGCAAGGGUGAAACUUAAAGG
rnacentral:rRNA from 1 species